CUGUACAGUUCAGAGUUUGAUCCUGGCUCAGGAUGAACGCUGGCGGCGUGCUUAACACAUGCAAGUCGAACGAUGAAGCCUGAGCUUGCUUGGGUGGAUUAGUGGCGAACGGGUGAGUAACACGUGAGCAACCUGCCCCUGACUCUGGGAUAAGCGCUGGAAACGGCGUCUAAUACUGGAUAUGAGACGUGGCCGCAUGGUCAACGUUUGGAAAGAUUUUCGGUUGGGGAUGGGCUCGCGGCCUAUCAGCUUGUUGGUGAGGUAAUGACUCACCAAGGCGUCGACGGGUAGCCGGCCUGAGAGGGUGACCGGCCACACUGGGACUGAGACACGGCCCAG
rnacentral:rRNA from 1 species